rnacentral:rRNA from 1 species
GGAAUAUUGCACAAUGGGGGAAACCCUGAUGCAGCAACGCCGCGUGAGUGAUGAAGUAUUUCGGUAUGUAAAGCUCUAUCAGCAGGGAAGAUAAUGACGGUACCUGACUAAGAAGCCCCGGCUAACUACGUGCCAGCAGCCGCGGUAAUACGUAGGGGGCAAGCGUUAUCCGGAUUUACUGGGUGUAAAGGGAGCGCAGACGGUUCAGUAAGUCAGAAGUGAAAACCCGCGGCUCAACUGCGGGACUGCUUUUGAAACUAUUGAACUAGAGUGCUGGAGGGGCAAGCGGAAUUCCUGGUGUAGCGGUGAAAUGCGUAGAUAUCAGGAGGAACACCGGUGGCGAAGGCGGCUUGCUGGACAGUGACUGACGUUGAGGCUCGAAAGCGUGGGGAGCAAACA